GUCUAUGGCCAUGCCACCCUGAACAAGCCUGAUGUCUGAUCUCGGAAGCUAAUCAGGGUCGGGCCUGGUUAGUACUUGGAUGGGAGACCACCUAGGAAUACCAGGUGCUGUAGGCA
rnacentral:rRNA from 1 species